GUCUUCGUAGCUCAGCGGAAGAGCGCGGCCCUCCGACGGCCGAGGUCGCACGUUCGAAUCGUGCCGGGGACGCCA
rnacentral:tRNA from 1 species